rnacentral:tRNA from 1 species
AUGGGCCAUCGAUGGUCCCUCCUUACCAAAGCCUGAUGUAGGUAAUGUGCAGUGUCCACAACAGAUUGUCUGAUGAAAAAUAAUGAGCAAGCGCACCUGUUGAUGUAAUGAGUCCUGGACUCAUGCUGAUGCGGAACGAUUAAGCCUGAGGUUUAGUCGGAUUUCGUGUCCCCAUCGUCUAGAGGCCUAGGACACUGCCCUUUCACGGCUGUAACAGGGGUUCGAAUCCCCUUGGGGACGCCAUACCGAUAAUGAGUGAAAGACAUUAUCACCGAAUAUCUUAAAGAUGACUUUACCGAGUCGUGUUUAAGAUAUUGCUCUUUAACAAUCUGGAACAAGCUGAAAUUUGAAACGAUGCGGCUAAACAUAUCUCUCCGUGCAGUACUGAGAUGUGAUUUGGCUGUAUCAGAGUCUCUCAAAUAAUCGCAGCGCGAGAUGUCCAAAGAGACCUUCAGGUUGUGAGGUUAAGCGACUAAGCGUACACGGUGGAUGCCUUGGCAUGUGUGAUAUGGCUGUAUCAGAGUCUCUCAAAUAAUCGCAGCGCGAAAGUGACUUGAUGUAUCAAAGACACCUUCGGGUUGUGAGGUUAAGCGACUAAGCGUACACGGUGGAUGCCUUGGCA